rnacentral:rRNA from 1 species
AUAGUUUGAUGAUGGCUCAGAAUGAACGCUGGCGGCGUGCCUAACACAUGCAAGUCGAGCGGUAAGGCCCCUUCGGGGGUACACGAGCGGCGAACGGGUGAGUAUCGCGUGGGUAAUCUACCUAGAAGUGGGGGAUAGCCUCGGGAAACCGGGGGUAAUACCGCAUGUGCUCCUUGAUACAUAAGUAACUUGGAAGAAAGGCGGGGAUCUUCGGACCUGUCGCUUCUGGAUGAGCCCGCGUCCGAUUAGCUUGUUGGUGAGGUAAUGGCUCACCAAGGCUUCGAUCGGUAGCCGGCCUGAGAGGGUGAACGGCCACAUUGGGACUGAGACACGGCCCAGACUCCUACGGGAGGCAGCAGUGGGGAAUAUUGGGCAAUGGGCGCAAGCCUGACCCAGCGACGCCGCGUGGAGGAUGAAGGCUUUCGGGUUGUAAACUCCUGUCAGGUGGGAAGAAGGACCUGUCGGUUAAUAUCCGGCAGGAAUUGACUGUACCACCAAAGGAAGCCCCGGCUAACUCCGUGCCAGCAGCCGCGGUAAUACGGGGGGGGCAAGCGUUAUUCGGAUUUACUGGGCGUAAAGCGUACGUAGGUGGCAUCGUUAGUCAAAGGUGAAAGCCCUCGGCUCAACCGAGGAACUGCCUUUGAAACUGCUUUGCUUGAGUCCGGGAGGGGGGAGCGGAAUUCCCAGUGUAGCGGUGAAAUGCGUAGAUACUGGGAGGAACACCGGUGGCGAAGGCGGCUCCCUGGACCGGUACUGACACUGAGGUGCGAAAGCGUGGGUAGCAAAC